rnacentral:tRNA from 1 species
ACCACAAUGAACCUUCCUCGCCUGCUAAGCUCUGGAUGCAUGGUUUAAUUCCAUGGUGUGUUC